rnacentral:rRNA from 1 species
AGAUUGAACGCUGGCGGCAUGCUUUACACAUGCAAGUCGAACGGCAGCGCGGGGCAACCUGGCGGCGAGUGGCGAACGGGUGAGUAAUAUAUCGGAACGUACCCAAGAGUGGGGGAUAACGUAGCGAAAGUUACGCUAAUACCGCAUACGAUCUAAGGAUGAAAGCAGGGGACCGCAAGGCCUUGUGCUCCUGGAGCGGCCGAUAUCUGAUUAGCUAGUUGGUAGGGUAAAGGCCUACCAAGGCUACGAUCAGUAGCUGGUCUGAGAGGACGACCAGCCACACUGGAACUGAGACACGGUCCAGACUCCUACGGGAGGCAGCAGUGGGGAAUUUUGGACAGUGGGCGCAAGCCUGAUCCAGCAAUGCCGCGUGAGUGAAGAAGGCCUUCGGUUGUAAGCUCUUUUGUCAGGAAGAAACGGUGGAGCUAAGUAUCUCCCACUAAUGACGGUACCUAGAAGAAUAAGACACCGGCUAACUACGUGCCAGCAGCCGA